CAGUGCCACAGUGAGAAAAAUCAUUUGUGAGCAAGUGUAGUUUCACUAAGGUCUUUACUGUGGCAGGUAUGGAGAGUGAACACCAAGUAUAACAUCCUCUACAUCAACGGAUCUGUCCCGGGUCACCGCAACUGUCUUGUUAAGGUCAGGGACUCAAUUCUGCCCACUCGUUUGGAGAACAACAAGAACCCUCCAUUCCCCACAUUCUUUGCUGAUGGAGACAAAGAUCUCCCUGAAGACCUUUUCGAUGAGGACAUGUUCCAGUUUGGGCAGCCCAUGCCUGAAUGAGGUUGUGAGCCCACAAUUCUUGCUUAUGCUGGUAAAAGACACUGGGCAUUACGUGACCCUUGAUCGAUGCCUUUCAUCUAGUGGAUUCAGCACUGCUGGGCUGAAAGACUUUUAAAGAAGUGUCAAGUAAACGCAUAAAUACAGGUAUUCAGGUUCAGGUACAGAGUAAACUCAUACUUCUGUAUAACAACUGGAUCAUGUUUAGGUGUCAAACGCAGUUGUGUAUUUAAACAAUAAAACCUGUUUGAUAUAAUUA